rnacentral:rRNA from 1 species
GUGCAGCAGGCGAGAAAACUUCACACUGUGCGAAAGCACGAUGAGGGAAUCCCAAGUGCUUGCACGUAAGUGUAAGCUGUUUCUCUGUCUAAAACGCAGAGAGAGUAAGGGCUGGGUAAGACGGGUGCCAGCCGCCGCGGUAAUACCUGCAGCUCAAGUGGUGACCGUUAUUAUUGGGCCUAAAACGUCCGUAGCCGGUUUAAUAAAUGCCUGGGUAAAUUGUGUAGCUUAACUAUACGAAUUCCGGGUAGACUGUUAAACUUGAGACCGGGAGAAGUUAGAGGUACUCCUGGGGUAGAGGUGAAAUUCUGUAAUCCUAGGGGACCACCAGUGGCGAAGGCGUCUAACUAGAACGGGUCUGACGGUGAGGGACGAAGCCCUGGGGCGCAAACGGGAUUAGAUACCCGCGUAGU